CCCUCCCCCCCCGCCCGUCAAGCCUUUGGCAUCAUUAUCCUCAUCACUAAAUCCUACAGAGUACAGGGCGGAAAACGGUGCACACCAUUCACAGAACUGGAGAACUCCAAGGGGCGAAAGUUAAAGGGAAAGAUCCCGGGUCCUCAAUCCAGAUCAUCUCUUCUUAUACAGAUAUCUCUAAUGACCAGAUUUGAGAUGCACAUCAAAUUGUGUAGCUAUCUCAGUACAGCUUCUGGAACAAAAUUCACUGCCCUUUCCCUUAUUAUUAUUUUUUUCUUUUUAGGUACCAGAGUCAGAAAAAAAAAAAAAAAAUGCUUCAUGAGAGCUGCAUCUUAGGGCAUGUGUGUUAGGGUGUGUGCAUGAUGAAUUUCUGGUCUGGAUCCCAAUAUUAAAAAGUAGUUUGGCAUUUUAAUAAAGGGUUUCUAAGUAAAUUAACGUAGAACACUCGGUUGGCCGAUCUCUGAAUCUCUCUACACCUCGGGGUCACCUCACUACAAAGUAAGGGAGAAUGUGUAGGGAGGCAGGAGGAGAAAAGAGAAAGGCCAUAGAGAAACUUAGCAGGGAAGGGAGAACAUGAUAUUAAACGGCAUGGGGUCUAAGUUUUGGAGUAUAUAUUUUUUGAUAUUACAAUUAAAGUAAGAUUAAAAAGAAAAGACUCCACCUUUGCUCUGAAGGGAUUGGUUAUGCAAAUAUGGAAGGGAUUUCCUGGAGAAUACAGCUUUCUACUGUAUGGUUAAUUAAAUAAUCACUCAAAAGCUUCCAACGUGACGCUUCUGUCGUAAUCCAAUCAGGUUACAUAGGUCCUAAACAAGAAAGAUAUUUUCCACAUCUGGAAGUCAGCAAUUUAGCAAGUACUGCACAUUAUUAACCAAUUCAGAGCCCACUUCCCAGGGGAAUUUUUUUGAAGUUUAAGUGUUCUUAACCAAUGCUCUGCUGUUUUGUUAAUCAAAAAGCUGGUUUACACUGCACAUAAUUGGAACUAAUAUAGAAGUAAAUAAAGACAGCCAAAUUUGAGGAUGCUGAGCACAGGCAUUUAUCGGAAAAGGAAGAAAUCUCCUAUCUUCGGAUGGUUCAGGCUCAAUUUCUUAAAUAACUGUGAGACUUUUUUUUUUUUUUCCCCUAAAGAGUGAAAGUGCUUGAGAACCUCAGAGCACAAAUAAACUUCUAGUCUCACAGCAUUUAGGAUCCUUCGGAAAGGUAAAGGUGGAGGUGUUAAGAGGACCAGAGAGCUGUCUCACACCACUUUUUAAGCUUUAAUAUUGUUAAAUAUGUUACACCCUCCUGUUUCCAGUCUGAUGAAAUCUGAAACAAAUAAUACCCUGAUCCAACACUAUAUUAAGAUAAACUGCUUUGAACUGUGCUUUGAAUGUGUGCCUAAAGCAAGGCUUUGAAUGCAAGAGUCACUGGCAAUUGCACUCAAAGGAGGGACAAGCCACCACAUGGGUUGCCACAUCACACUCCCAGAGAGAAUAUCCAUUUAUAUAAUGUCAUGAACGUAUAUCCGAUGACAUCAUUUGCCUGCAAUCGUACCCAGUGAGUGGCAGAGUCAUCCUGAAGCCUGCUUUCCGGGCCCUGCCUAUAUUCUGGAAAGCUUCACAUGUGAGAUAAAUGCACUCAAAGAUUCCUCACAAGUAGCUCUUUGGAGCUUCGGAUGUGAAAUGGAUCAUUCCUCAAUCUGUAAUAGACCCUUCUGUGAAGCUCUUCAAUCAAACCAGAGAAUUCAAGGUGAAAUUGAGGGGAGGAUUGGAAACCCCUA